rnacentral:tRNA from 3 species
GGGUGAUUAGCUCAGCUGGUAGAGCACCUCCCUUACAAGGAGGGGGUCGGCGGUUCGAUCCCGUCAUCACCCACCA